AACGCACCUUGCGCUCCUUGGUAUUCCGAGGAGCAUGCCUGUUUGAGUGUCAUGAAGUUCUCAACUCAGAAAGCAUUUGUUUGUUCUCUGAGAUUGGAAUUGGAGGCUUGCCGGCGAUGGUCGGCUCCUCUCAAAUGAAUUAGCUGGGCUGUGCUCGAGAGAAAACAGUCGGUGUGAUAAUUAUCUGCGCCGUCACUGGAGUACCUCGGAUCCCGCUUCCAAUCGUCCUCUGGACAAUACACCUUGACAUCUGACCUCAAAUCAGGUAGGAUUACCCGCUGAACUUAA
rnacentral:misc_RNA from 1 species